rnacentral:rRNA from 1 species
CAAUAGCGUAUAUUUAAGUUGUUGCAGUUAAAAAGCUCGUAGUUGGAUUUCUGCUGAUCGCUGUCGGUCUGCCGUCAGGUGUGUACUGGCAGUGUUUGGCAUCUAUUCGAGAUUGGGUGUCCACUUGAUUGUGUGCACUCGAUGUCGGAGCUAAUACUUUGAGAAAAUUAGAGUGUUCCACGCAGGCGCGUGCCUUGAAUACUGCAGCAUGGGAUAUUGGAAGGCCGAUUGAGCUUUCUUGUUGGUUCUCGGUUUGAUCGGAAUGAUUAAUAGGGAUAGUUGGGGGCAUUCGUAUUCAACUGUCAGAGGUGAAGUUCUUGGAUUUGUUGAAGACGGACUACUGCGAAAGCAUCUGCCAUGGAUGUUCUCAUUGA